rnacentral:rRNA from 1 species
UGCGAUACAAUGUAAGCGACUGAGCGAAAGCGUUAAGUAAUCCACCUGGGGAGUACGUUCGCAAGAAUGAAACUCAAAGGAAUUGACGGGGGCCCGCACAAGCGGAGGAACAUGUGGUUUAAUUCGAUGAUACGCGAGGAACCUUACCCGGGCUUGAAAUGCGGCGGACCGGCAGAGAGAUCUGCCUUCCCUUCGGGGCCGCCGUGUAGGUGCUGCAUGGUUGUCGUCAGCUCGUGCCGUGAGGUGUCGGCUUAAGUGCCAUAACGAGCGCAACCCUCAUCAUUAGUUACUAACAGGUCAUGCUGAGGACUCUAGUGAGACUGCCAUCGUAAGAUGCGAGGAAGGUGGGGAUGACGUCAAAUCAGCACGGCCCUUACGUCCGGGGCGACACACGUGUUACAAUGGGUGGUACAAAGGGCAGCUACCUGGCGAGCAGGAUGCUAAUCUCCAAAACCACUCUCAGUUCGGAUACAGGGGUCUGCAACUCGACUCCGUGAAGCUGGAUUCGCUAGUAAUCGCGCAUCAGCCAGGCGC